rnacentral:lncRNA from 1 species
AAUUGAGUGCAAUGAUUCAAUGUUUUGGUGUAUGAAAUCAGAAAUAAUGAAGGAGACAAUGGUGGUGCACGGCAUAGGUCGUAAAUUGGAGUGAUUUAUGGCAGAAAAUAGGAAAGGAAUGGUUCCCUUGCACGGCAAGGAAGAGAAAUGGUGAAGGAUGGUAUGGCUUGGACUUUUAGGGUAGGUUUAGGACUUGUAGAAUAUGUAAUGAAAUGUCCCAAAGUAUUUAGGA